GCUGUAGCUUAGUGGCAGAGCAUCUGCCUUGCAUGCAGAGGGUCCCAGGAUAAUCCCUGGCAUCUCCA